CCUACGGGAGACAGCAGUGAGGAAUAUUGGUCAAUGGGCGGAAGCCUGAACCAGCCAAGUAGCGUGCAGGAUGACGGCCCUACGGGUUGUAAACUGCUUUUAUACGGGAAUAACGCGCCUUACGUGUAGGGCUUUGCAUGUACCGUGUGGAUAAGGACUGGCGAAUUCCGUGCCAGCAGCCGCGGUAAUUCGGAAGGUCCGGGCGUUAUUCGGAUUUUUUGGGUUUAAAGGGGGGGUAAGCCGCAUGUCAAGCGUGCUGUGAAAUGUUCGGGCUCAACCCGGGCCUUGCAGCGCGAACUGGCGUGCUUGAGUGCGCGGAAAGCAGGCGGAAUUCGUCGUGUAGCGGUGAAAUGCUUAGAUAUGACGAAGAACCCCGAUUGCGAAGGCAGCUUGCUGCAGCGGAACUGACGCUGAUGCUCGAAAGCGCGGGUAUCGAACAGGAUUAGAUACCCGUGUAGUC
rnacentral:rRNA from 1 species